CCUUUGCUUGUCCAGACAGAAUUAUCCCUUUGUAUAGGUUUGUGAACAAGGAAACUUAUUCUUACUCCAGUUGCUUUAAAAUAAUGAUCAGGCUUUUUUUUCUUUUUUUUUCUUACAACACACUUAUUUGCAUUUGGAAUGUGCAUCUAGAAUUUACAAAAGAAAAAACCCACUCAGGUAAAUUUUUAAAUACUUUAUAAUAACAGUAACUGUGUUUUGUUAUGAUCUUAAGUUUACAAUAAGGCAGUACAUCAAACUUAAACUUUCUUACAGAGGGAUGAAUUCAGAUGACAGUCUGAUGAUAUGACUCAAUGAUUUUAAAAUAACAUUUACUGCACAUAUGCAUAAAUAUCACCAACUGGUCACGUCUAGACCACACAUACUGCACUGAAUCAGCUUGGGACAGGUAGAUAUUUUGUGUAGCAAUGACACUCGGUACAGAGGCAGUAUACCAACAAUGCAGUACAAUAAACUAUAGACCUGUGAGUAUCUAAUAUUUGAAGGGAGACAACUCUAAAUAUUAACACAAAACCUCAGCCAAGGUGUCAAGCCAGUAUAGGUUUUCUCAGGGUUCUUUUGUUCAACUUAAGAUUCUACAUAUGAUUCAGAUAAACUUCAGCCACAAUAGCAACUUUCUCUAUAACAAAUGAACACAUACAGCACUUUAAAACCGAAGACAACACAAAAUAUCAGUCAACUCAAAAUUAUCUUCUGUGGAGUUCUAAGUGUGGGAGGGAACCAGAGUACCCGGAGAAAACCUACGUGGUGGGGAUGGUGGCCCCAUAUAGCUUUUCGUAUCUGAUCAGGGAAUUGAACCCUGGUCUCCUUGGUGAUAAAGCCAAGUGUGACACCUACUGCAUUACUUGAAAAUAUAUGAAAUGUUGAAUGCAAGUAGU